CACUACGGCCAUACCACCCUGAAUAUGCCUGAUCUUGUCCGAUUUCAGAAGCUAAACAGGGUCGGGUCUGGUUACUACUUGGAUGGGAGACCACCUGGGAAUACCAGGUGCUGUAAAUG
rnacentral:rRNA from 1 species